rnacentral:rRNA from 1 species
GACGAACGCUGGCGGCGUGCCUAAUACAUGCAAGUCGAACGCAGUGGGGACGGGUGAGUAAAACGUGGGUAACCGCCCAUCAGAGGGGAUAACACUUGGAAACAGGUGCUAAACCGAUAUUGGUGGAUGGACCCGCUGUGCAGUAGCUAGUUGGUGAGGUAACGGCUCACCAAGUCCACGAUGCAUAGCCGGACUUGGAGGGUGAUCGGCCAAACUGGGACUGAGACACGGCCCAGACUCCUAAGGGAGGCAGCAGUAGGGAAUCUUCGGCAAUGGGCGAAAGUCUGACGGAGCAAAGCCGCGUGAGUGAAGAAGGUCUUCGGGUCGUAAAAUUCUGUUGUCAGAGAAGCGGUAUCUAACCAGAAAGCCACGGCUAACUACGUGCCAGCAGCCGCGGUAAUAC